GCUGGGCAUGGUGGCAUGUGCCUGUAGUCCCAGUUACUUGGGAGGCUGAAGCAGGAGGAACCCUUGAGCCCAAAAGUUCUGGGCUGUAGUGAGCUAUGCCAGUUGAGUGUCUGCACUAAGUUCAGCAUCAGUAUGGUAACCUCCUGUUAGCGGGGCCUACGGGGCUGGCAAAGGAGGGGUGAAUGGACCCAGGUCGGAAGCAGAGCAGGUCAUAACUCCGGUGCUGAUCAGUAGUUGGAUCGCCUGUGAAUAGCCACUGCACUCCAGCCUGGGCAACAUAGCAAGACCCUAUUGUU
ensembl:misc_RNA RN7SL38P RNA, 7SL, cytoplasmic 38, pseudogene